rnacentral:rRNA from 1 species
AUUGAACGCUGGCGGCAGGCCUAACACAUGCAAGUCGAACGAGUGGCGGACGGGGGAGUAAUGACUGGGAAACUGCCCGAUGGAGGGGGAUAACUACUGGAAACGGUAGCUCAUACCGCAUACCAUCGGAUGUGCCCCGAUGGGAUUCGCUAGUCGGUGGGGUAAUGGCUCACCUAGGCGACGAUCCCUAGCUGUUCUGAGAGGAUGACCAGCCACACUGGAACUGAGACCCGGUCCAGACUCCCACGGGAGGCAGCAGUGGGGAAUAUUGCACAAUGGGCGCAAGCCUGAUGCGGCCAUGCCGCGUGUAUGAAGCAGGCCUUCGGGUUGUAAAGUACUUUCAGCGAGGAGGCGUUACUCGCAGAAGAAGCAUCGGCUAACUCCGUGCCAGCAGCCGCGGUAAUUC